GGGACACGUGGUAUCCUGUCUGAAUAUGGGGGGACCAUCCUCCAAGGCUAAAUACUCCUGACUGACCGAUAGUGAACCAGUACCGUGAGGGAAAGGCGAAAAGAACCCCGGCGAGGGGAGUGAAAAAGAACCUGAAACCGUGUACGUACAAGCAGUGGGAGCACGCUUAGGCGUGUGACUGCGUACCUUUUGUAUAAUGGGUCAGCGACUUAUAUUCUGUAGCAAGGUUAACCGAAUAGGGGAGCCGAAGGGAAACCGAGUCUUAACUGGGCGUUAAGUUGCAGGGUAUAGACCCGAAACCCGGUGAUCUAGCCAUGGGCAGGUUGAAGGUUGGGUAACACUAACUGGAGGACCGAACCGACUAAUGUUGAAAAAUUAGCGGAUGACUUGUGGCUGGGGGUGAAAGGCCAAUCAAACCGGGAGAUAGCUGGUUCUCCCCGAAAGCUAUUUAGGUAGCGCCUCGUGAAUUCAUCUCCGGGGGUAGAGC
rnacentral:rRNA from 1 species